UUUUGACUGUGCAAAGGUAGCAUAAUCAUUAGUUUUUUAAUUGAAAGCUGGAAUGAAAGGUUUGAUGAGAAAAUAACUGUCUCUGUGUGAAUGUUUUAGAACUUCAAUUUUAAGUGAAAAAGCUUAAAUUUUUUAUAAAGACGAGAAGACCCUAUAGAGUUUUAUAUUUGAUUGGAUGUAAAAGUUGUUGAAUUGAUUCUUUUAUUUUUACUUAAGUAUUUUGUUGGGGCGAUGGAAAAAUUUGAUUAACUUUUUUUUGUUUUUAACAUUGAUUUAUGAUUACUUGAUCCUUUUUUUUGGAUUACAAGACUAAAUUACCUUAGGGAUAACAGCGUAAUUUUUUUUGGAGAGUUCUUAUCGAUAAAAAAGUUUGCGACCUCGAUGUUGGAUUAAAAUUAAAUUUCGGUGCAGAAGCUGAAAUUUUGGGUCUGUUCGACCUUUGAAAUUUU
rnacentral:rRNA from 1 species